rnacentral:rRNA from 1 species
GACGAACGCUGGCGGCGUGCCUAAUACAUGCAAGUAGAACGCUGAAGGAGGAGCUUGCUUCUCUGGAUGAGUUGCGAACGGGUGAGUAACGCGUAGGUAACCUGCCUGGUAGCGGGGGAUAACUAUUGGAAACGAUAGCUAAUACCGCAUAAGAGUAGAUGUUGCAUGACAUUUGCUUAAAAGGUGCAAUUGCAUCACUACCAGAUGGACCUGCGUUGUAUUAGCUAGUUGGUGAGGUAACGGCUCACCAAGGCGACGAUACAUAGCCGACCUGAGAGGGUGAUCGGCCACACUGGGACUGAGACACGGCCCAGACUCCUACGGGAGGCAGCAGUAGGGAAUCUUCGGCAAUGGACGGAAGUCUGACCGAGCAACGCCGCGGGAGUGAAGAAGGUUUUCGGAUCGUAAAGCUCUGUUGUAAGAGAAGAACGAGUGUGAGAGUGGAAAGUUCACACUGUGACGGUAGCUUACCAGAAAGGGACGGCUAACUACGUG